GACGAACGCUGGCGGCGUGCUUAACACAUGCAAGUCGAGCGGAAAGGCCCAGCUUGCUGGGUGCUCGAGUGGCGAACGGGUGAGUAACACGUGGGUGAUCUGCCUCUAACUUCGGGAUAAGCUUGGGAAACUGGGUCUAAUACCGGAUAGGACAAUCGUUUAGUGUCGGUUGUGGAAAGUUUUUUCGGUUAGGGAUGAGCCCGCGGCCUAUCAGCUUGUUGGUGGGGUAAUGGCCUACCAAGGCGUCGACGGGUAGCCGGCCUGAGAGGGUGGACGGCCACAUUGGGACUGAGAUACGGCCCAGACUCCUACGGGAGGCAGCAGUGGGGAAUAUUGCACAAUGGGCGCAAGCCUGAUGCAGCGACGCCGCGUGGGGGAUGACGGCCUUCGGGUUGUAAACCUCUUUCGACAGGGACGAAGCUUUGGUGACGGUACCUGUAGAAGAAGCACCGGCUAACUACGUG
rnacentral:rRNA from 1 species